UACGUAGGGGGCGAGCGUUGUUCGGAUUUACUGGGCGUAAAGGGCGCGUAGGCGGCCACCGCAAGUCGACUGUGAAAUCUCCGGGCUUAACCCGGAAAGGUCAGCCGAUACUGCGGGGCUAGAGUGCAGAAGGGGCAACUGGAAUUCUCGGUGUAGCGGUGAAAUGCGUAGAUAUCGAGAGGAACACCAGUGGCGAAGGCGGCUCACUGGCCCGGUACUGACGCUGAGGCGCGAAAGCGUGGGGAGCAAACAGG
rnacentral:rRNA from 1 species